rnacentral:rRNA from 1 species
GAUGAACGCUGGCGGCGUGCUUAACACAUGCAAGUCGAACGAAGCAUUUAGGACAGAUUACUUCGGUUUGAAGUUCUUUAUGACUGAGUGGCGGACGGGUGAGUAACGCGUGGGUAACCUGCCUCGUACUGGGGGAUAGCAGCUGGAAACGGCUGGUAAUACCGCAUAAGCGCACAAUGCUGCAUGACAUGGUGUGAAAAACUCCGGUGGUAUAAGAUGGACUCGCGUCUGAUUAGCUAGUUGGUGAGAUAACAGCCCACCAAGGAGACGAUCAGUAGCCGACGUGAGAGGGUGACCGGCCACAUUGGGACUGAGACACGGCCGAGACUCAUACGGGAGGGAGCAGUGGGGAAUAUUGCAAAAUGGAGGAGACUCUGAUGCAGCGACGGCGCGUGAGUGAAGAAGUAAUUCGUUAUGUAAAGCUCUAUCAGCAGGGAAGAUAGUGACGGUACCUGACGAAGAAGCACCGGCUAAAUACGUG